rnacentral:tRNA from 1 species
CCCCGAUUAGUUCAGUGGGAGAACGCUCGCCCGAUUAGCGAGAUGUCGGCAGUUCGAAUCUGUCAUCGGGGACUA